GACAGAGGUGCCGAGCGUUAGGCGGAAUCACUGGGCUUAAAGCGUGUGUAGGCGGGUCGUUAAGUGUCUUGUGAAAUCCCACCGCUCAACGGUGGAACGGCUGGGCAUACUGGCGACCUUGAGGGACCCAGGGGCGAGCGGAACAAGCGGUGGAGCGGUGAAAUGCGUAGAUAUCGCUUGGAACGCCGACGGUGAAAACAGCUCGCUGGGGGUCACCUGACGCUGAGACACGGAAGCCAGGGGAGCGAACGGG
rnacentral:rRNA from 1 species